UACGUAGGGGCCUAGCGUUGUCCGGAUUUACUGGGCGUAAAGAGCGCGCAGGCGGUCGGAUAAGUCGAAUGUGAAAGCCCCCGGCUCAACUGGGGAGGGUCAUUCGAUACUGUUCGACUCGAAGGCAGGAGAGGGAAGUGGAAUUCCCGGUGUAGUGGUGAAAUGCGUAGAUAUCGGGAGGAACACCAGUGGCGAAGGCGACUUCCUGGCCUGUUCUUGACGCUGAGGCGCGAAAGCUAAGGGGAGCAAACGGGGAUUAAGAAACCCUAG
rnacentral:rRNA from 1 species